GACCAACUAAGUUAGUUCUUGGUAUGAGCUUUCGUGUGCAAGCACACUUCUUCAGAUACACACAGUGUAUUCUUCAGUGUAUCUGAAGAAGUGUGCUUGCACACGAAAGCUCAUACCCAGAACUAACGUAGUUGG